CGGAACAUUUGAUGCGCUUUCAUAUUCUAACUUAUUAUAAACAAUUAAUAGCUGUGGCAAACAGAGUCUUGUAGAAUAGUAUAAAAUGUCGUGACAAAGAUUAUGGCAAUUUUAAAACAACUAACCACGAAACCAAACAAGCCACCUUCAAAAACAUUCCACUUGGCUUUGGUGUUCGCUAGCUGCAAUAAUUACCGAGUGCAAAUUACAGGCGGAAAGUUGAAGUGCAUAAGACGUGGCUAGUGAAGUAGAUCAGAAUCACGAAUGGACUGACACAUCAGUUCACUACUUCGUAAUGCGCAGGGAGUAAGUCUUUAAUUCCACCCCACCCCCAUCUAGGGAACGGCCAAGCUAAUCAUUUCAUCAGCUUUUCGGUUAACUCUAAUGUCACACAAAUCCGUCACUCCAUGUUUUAUCACUACGUUAAAUCGUAUCAUUCAUAAUCUUUCAGAUUUUAGGAAUCAUAAAGCACCAGGGUAAGUAUGAAGUAUGAUUUAUCCGACAUUUUUCUUUGAUAACCAAAAAGCGGUCGAUUACCUGGAAGGAUGACGAAUGCUAGAAGAAGAAGACGAAGAACAUGUCUCGUCGGCAAUAUCAAGAUCUCCAUGCCUGUGUGUGUUACCCCCUUGGCGCGGACGGCUUAACUCUUCAUCGUGUUUGCUCGCUCAUCAAGACAAGCACGUCGUUCGCUGUGACAGUGUUUAAAGUACGAUUUGAUGUUUGACUGGACGAACGCAGUCUGACGUAAUUAACUAAUCCCGAUUCACCAAUGUGUGCAUCCUCGCGCUUUCCGUGUCACCACCAAAUAAUCAACAAAUGGUUCCGCAUGAAUGACUUACUACGCGUUUUUAAGUUACCACUGAGACGGUGGGGGGAGGGGUGAGACGACGCGGGGGAGAAGGGACAGUCGUACAAGUUGUCAUGGAAUUGAAUAAAAAACUGUGGUAA